rnacentral:misc_RNA from 1 species
GAUGAAGAACGUAGUGAAAUGCGAUACUUGGUGUGAAUUGCAGAAUCCCGUGAACCAUCGAGUCUUUGAACGCAAGUUGCGCCCGAAGCCAUUAGGCCGAGGGCACGCCUGCCUGGGCGUCACACGUCGUUGCCCCCCCAUCUACUCCUUCGGGAUUGCGGGGGGCGGAUGAUGGCCUCCCGUGCGCCUCGUCGCGCGGUUGGCCUAAAUGCCAAGUCCUCGGCGACGCACGCCACGACAAUCGGUGGUUGCGAAACCUCGGUUGCCUGUCGUGUGCGGUCGUCGCGCAUCGAGGGCUCGAAAAAAUUGCCGGGCUUCGGCUCGACUUUCAACGCGACCCCAGGUCAGGCGGGGUUACCCGCUGAAUUUAAGCAUAUCAAUAAGCGGAGGA